rnacentral:rRNA from 1 species
UACGGAGGGGGGCUAGCGUUGUUCGGAAUUACUGGGCGUAAAGGGCGUGCAGGCGGUCUGUUAAGUUCAGGGUGAAAGCUCCCGGCUCAACUGGGAGAGGUCCUUGGAUACUGGCAGACUUGAGGGAGGUAGAGGAGAGUGGAAUUCCCGGUGUAGUGGUGAUAUGCGUAGAUAUCGGGAGGAACACCAGUGGCGAAGGCGGCUCUCUGGGCCUUUCCUGACGCUGAGACGCGAAAGCGUGGGGAGCGAACCGG